AUCGAACGCUGGCGGCAGGCUUAACACAUGCAAGUCGAGCGAGAGGCGGAGGGGUGAGUAAUGUCUGGGCGCCUGCCUGAUGGAGGGGGAUAACUACUGGAAACGGUAGCUAAUACCGCAUACCAUCAGAUGUGCCUAGAUGGGAUUAGCUAGUAGGGGGGGUAAUGGCUCACCUAGGCGACGAUCCCUAGCGGGUCUGAGAGGAUGACCGGCCAAACUGGAACUGAGAGCCGGUCCGGAAUCCUACGGGAGGCAGCAGUGGGGAAUAUUGCAGAAUGGGAGCAAGCCUGAUGCAGCCAUGCAGCGUGUGUGAAGAAGGCCUUCGGGGCGUAAAGAACUUUCAGCGGGGAGGCGUUACUCGCAGAAGAAGCACCGGCUAACUCCGUGCCAGCAGCCGCGGUAAUAC
rnacentral:rRNA from 1 species